rnacentral:misc_RNA from 1 species
AGAAAAAAAUCAGUUGUCUUUCCGCUCUACAACACAAAAAUCGUCUAAAAAAUGUAAAUCAUCAACACACACUAUUAAAUGAUAAGAGUUAUUGGGCUGGGUCGAACGCUUAUCAAUGCGCGCUGCGCUGCCUCUGCCUUCAAUUAGUUAGUUAAUUGCGCCGAACUUAAACUGCAAAUAUGACUAACGCCUUGAGCCGCUUUCUGACGCCGGUCGCUUGCAACUGCAAAGAUUUCAGCCAUCCAUGGACGGAGAGCUGUGCAAAUGCAUCGGCAGGCAUACUUCUGUCCGCAAUACCAACAAGUUUGCGUAUCUACACCAUGGUCUAUGCGCUAUCACUCAUUAUGCGCCAUCGCAUACCCAAUCUCACCGAUCUCAAACAUACACUGCAUGGCAUAUUGCAAUCAUCCGCUUUCCUCGUCUCCAAUAGCUACUCAUUCAUCAUGUUCAAUUGCCUGUUACGUAAAAUCAUCGGUCACUAUUAUUGUGCCACAGUCGCUUUCAUACCCAGCUUCAUCUCCAGUUUUGCAUCGAUACUUGUCGAACGGCCCGCUCGGCGGCCACUUCUUACACUUUACGUAGCAAAUUUGGCUACCGAAACGCUGUGGAAUAUGGCCGAAGUACGCGGUUAUGUACGCUCUAUACCGCAAGGUCAAACAUUGAUCUUUGGCAUUAGCAUAUCAGCAUUGCUGUAUCUCUAUCGAUUAGGCCUACAUAAGACUACCUGUAAAGAUUCACUUUUCAAUAUUUUACGCUUUUUUGUGGAUAAAACCGAGGAGGGACCAAUCAAAUCCAUUACAUCAAAUACAUCAGAGGCGUCAACAUCUGCUAGCGCUGCACAGCGUUCACGUGCGCCGCUGGAUUUCCGAAGCAUAAAUGUGCUUGUACAGUUAUAUAGUCGCUUCUUGGGUGCGGUGAAGAGUAAACAUGCGUCGUGUCCGCAUCGUGAUAUGUGUUGGCGUUAUGCGCUAAUUGGUGGUCUGAAACCGUUCGUUGGUGGCGUGGGCCUGCAGGUGACGCUGCGUUUAGUUAUGAAUUUCAGGAAAAUUGUACAAUUCAAAUUUAACCCAAGAAAGGCACUAUUCAACAAGGAUACGCUCAAUUUGGGCAUCUUUUUGGGCUGUUUUUCAUUUAUUUAUAAGAGCGUCUCCUGCACGUUGCGGCACAGCUUUGGUCGUGAUGAUCCACGUUUUGCAAUACCCGCAGGUCUCUUGGCAAGUGUUGCGUUCACUAAAUAUCCCGAUGUUACUGUGGCAUUGUAUGUGAUGUGGAAAGCACUGCAAAUAUACUACGAUUUGGGCAUUAAGGAAGGAGUUUUGCCUCACAUAUCCAAUUUUACGCUCCUCUUAUAUUCCUUCUGCACCGCUAUACUGUUCCAUGCUGGUAUUCUGGAGCCAAAAACAAUUCGACCAAGCUACUUUAAAUUUCUACAAGCGAUUUCUGGUGAUAGACUUAAUCGAUUUAAUUUGGAGCCUUUCAAUGUGUAUGGUCAAAAUGCCAGCGAACAAAUGAAAGAAGUUUCUCGGCGAUUAAAUAUUAUUAACAAAUCACCGUUACCAAAAUGUUCGCUUGCCUCUUGGAAAUAAUGAUACGUGUACGACAGUGACAACAAUGAUAUAAUAACCAUGGAGAAACAUACAUACAUACGUACAUAUAGAGAAUAUCAGACUUAUGAAGGGUAAUGCUGUGACGAAAAAUCUAUAUGUAUAUCAAAAAACCGGUGAAAAACCGGUGUAGAAUUACAAGAAGUGAGAAAAAAGUAAAGGAAAUAGUUAGGCCAUUCACAAGCUUUGUCUUAUGUCUCAUGUCAUAUUUCAAUUGGCUUCAAAAAUACGACCCUUGUGAGCGCCCCUUAAUCGUUGUAUGUGCUGUGUAAUACAUAUUUCUUCUGCCACACUCCACUUAUGCACAGAGUUAAAUGGCGGCAUUUUGGUUUACACUGAACAAAAUAUUUUUAUAUCUCCCUUCUAUUCGACUUGAUUUACCUGAAUAUCGUGGAAAACAACAACAAUAUUAAUAGGAUAAUCACAAAGAAAUAAGACAAUAUGACGAUGUGACACAAUAUGACACCUCGUGAAUACCCUAAGUAAUUCCUAAAAUGUAUUAAAUAAAAGUAAUAAUAAUGUAUGAUAGAGUAAGGGAUUUUUAUAAGCUAUGUGCAUAUGUAUAGAAUUAAGAAUUAUUUUGUUUAGUUAAUUUGGUAAGCGAUUUGUUGUUGGUACACAUAUAAUUUUAAUUUGUGUCGGCGUUGAGAGUGAUUUGGAAAUAUACAGUUUGUAUA